CAAUAGCGUAUAUUAAAGUUGUUGCAGUUAAAAAGCUCGUAGUUGGAUUUCUGGUUGAAGCGACCGGUCGGGCGUUGAUUCGUCUGCACUGGAGUCGGUUUUGGCCAUCCUCUAGGAAAGUGCGUCUGGUAUUAAGUUAUCGGGCGUAUGAUCCUGGUCUUUUACUGUGAAGAAAUUAGAGUGUUUAAAGCAGGCCUUCGCCUUGAAUACAUUAGCAUGGAAUAAUAAGAUAGGACUUUGGUCUAUUUUGUUGGUUUGCAGACCGAAGUAAUGAUUAAUAGGGAUAGUUGGGGGUAUUUAUAUUCCGAUGUCAGAGGUGAAAUUCUUAGAUUUUCGGAAGAUAAACUUAUGCGAAANCANNNACCAAGGAUGUUUUCAUNAA
rnacentral:rRNA from 1 species